GGAGGGUUGCGCCGAAUGGUUAAGGCACUAGUUUUGAAAACUAGGGCUCCGCAAGGGGCUUACAGGUUCGAGUCCUGUACCCUCCG
rnacentral:tRNA from 1 species